CCGACCUCUAAGCUAAGCUUACUGAUGAGCCUGUGGAAUUCAGGCGAAAGGAUAU
rnacentral:hammerhead_ribozyme from 1 species